UAGGGAAUCUUCGGCAAUGGGGGCAACCCUGACCGAGCAACGCCGCGUGAGUGAAGAAGGUUUUCGGAUCGUAAAGCUCUGUUGUAAGAGAAGAACGUGUGUGAGAGUGGAAAGUUCACACAGUGACGGUAACUUACUAGAAAGGGACGGCUAACUACGCGCCAG
rnacentral:rRNA from 1 species